GUUCCUACGAUGAAAGAAGUAUUAUUUAUCCCUUCUAUUUACAACAGGUACGGCAGGGUGCUUCUCCAGCCUUGCCCUCUACGGUCAGUGAUUAAACAGGUUUAAAGGGGUUAAGCCAGUGUUGCUGACAUUCAAACCUACGGCUAACAUUGUCGAGGAGACAUUUACCUGCGAAAGCAU
rnacentral:sRNA from 1 species